UAUUCAAAACAUGGACUAUGUCCUGUUUACUUUUCUUCUUCCCAGAUUGCCCCUAAAUUUCUCCAUGUCAUCAGCAAAUUCUCCCAUGUCAGCAGAACACAAAGAAACCCGACCCGAGAACCAGGAAUCUCUCUCUCUUCCCGUCAUUUUGCCCUAACCCUAUCUCAGGAAAUUCCCAAUUUCUAAAUUUCUCAUCUUCUUCCCACAAGCCCCUCGUUGAAUUUGCUAGCUACCUCUUCAUGUCGCGGCAUUUCGGUCGACAACCCUUCAAUCAAAUCUUUCUCAUAUUUCAGAUACGUGGGUUUUCAAAACCAUAUAUCUUCCAUAGCAGCCUGCAAUCACAACUUUCCCUUUUUAAUACGCCUGCUUCACUUGCUCCAAUUUUAAAGUGCCCAAAAAAAUUUUCACUUGCGUAAUUUCCUCACGAAAAUGUCUUCCAUCGGAACUUCAAAGGGAAUCCUGGAAAUCGGAAAGUUCGCUUUCUAUGUCUCAAUCCCGAUUGAUCUGAUGUAUACUUUGGCAAACAAUUUCGAGAAUAUGAAGAAACUCGUCCAGAAGCUAGUCGCCGAAGCCAGUUCUUGGAGUGUUGCUGAUUUGUGCUGUUUAUAAUGAAAUGUGGAACCGUGCUUACAUGCAGCCAUUUCCUGCAAAAUGCAGAGGCUUAGGUCUGCUACUAGGCAACCCAUUCUAGCACCCUAGAAAAAGGAGCCUACAUUGGGUGGAUCAUGAGAGACAAAACUGAGGUGCAGAAUGGAAGACGAAUGUUGUGUGACAGAGAGUAUUCUUUGCAAUACUCGGUCAAAAUGGAGUUGGUUUGAGGUGAAUUUAGGUUAAAAGAUGAGUACUCCGGAUGCAACUCGAGCAGAACUUGCUCUUGUAAUUUUGUAUUUGAACAAAGCUGAAGCUAGGGAUAAGAUAUGCAGGGCAAUACAAUAUGGUUUGAAAAUUUGGAGUGAUGGACAGCCUGGUACUGCCCAAAAUGUUGACAAAUCAACCAGCUUGGCAUGGAAAGUUUUCCAUCUUUUUAAGGUUGGGUGAUACCGUACAUUGUGGUGUAAAACUUUUAUCUAUAUAUAUAUUAAUCUUGUCUCCUAUUUCUGUUGGCU